GCUGAGUGUGGUGGUGUGCACCUGUAAUCCCAGUCACUCAGGAGGCUGAGGCAGGAGGAUCACAAAUUCCAAGCCAGGCUUGGCAACUUAGCGAGGUUCUAAGCAACUUAAUGAGAACCUGUCUCUA
rnacentral:sRNA from 1 species